rnacentral:rRNA from 1 species
AGUGAACGCUGGCGGCGUGCCUAAUACAUGCAAGUCGCACGGAGUGGCGCACGGGUGAGUAAUAUAUAGCUAAUCUGCCCCUUGCUGGCGGACAACAGUUAGAAAUGACUGCUAAUACUCCAUAGCAAGGGAUGGGACUAUAUCGUAUCAGCUAGUCGGUGGGGUAACGGCCUACCGCUGCUAUGACGCGUAACUGGUCUGAGAGGAAGAUCAGUCAGAUUGGAACUGAGACACGGUCCAAACACCUUCAGGAGGCAGCAGUAGGGAAUAAGGCGCAAUGGGGGAAACCCUGAAGAAGCAACGCCGCGUGGAGGAUGACACUUUUCGGAGCGUAAACGCCAUUUGUUAGGGAAGCGGUACCGAACGAAUAAGCACCGGCUAACGCCGUGCCAGCCGCCGCGGGAAUAC